UGAACGCUGGCGGCGUGCCUAAUACAUGCAAGUCGAGCGCACAGACGCGGAGCUUGCUCCUCUGACGUUAGCGGCGGACGGGUGAGUAACACGUGGAUAACCUACCUAUAAGACUGGGAUAACUUCGGGAAACCGGAGCUAAUACCGGAUAAUAUAUUGAACCGCAUGGUUCAAUAGUGAAAGACGGUUUUGCUGCCACUUAUAGAUGGAUCCGCGCCGCAUUAGCUAGUUGGUAAGGUAACGGCUUACCAAGGCAACGAUGCGUAGCCGACCUGAGAGGGUGAUCGGCCACACUGGAACUGAGACACGGUCCAGACUCCUACGGGAGGCAGCAGUAGGGAAUCUUCCGCAAUGGGCGAAAGCCUGACGGAGCAACGCCGCGUGAGUGAUGAAGGUCUUCGGAUCGUAAAACUCUGUUAUUAGGGAAGAACAAAUGUGUAAGUAACUAUGCACGUCUUGACGGUACCUAAUCAGAAAGCCACGGCUAACUACGUG
rnacentral:rRNA from 1 species